rnacentral:rRNA from 1 species
GACGAACGCUGGCGGCGUGCUUAACACAUGCAAGUCGAACGGGCCCGCUCUCUUUUUUGGGGGUGGGUUGAGUGGCGAACGGGUGAGUAUCACGUGAGUAACCUGCCCCCUGCUCCUGGAUAACUGCUUGAAAGGGCGGCUAAUACGGGGUGUGCCGGCUGGUCCGCAUGGGCCUGGUCGGGAUAGUUUCAUCUUCGGGUGUGUCGGUGGGGGAUGGGCUCGCGGCCUAUCAGCUUGUUGGUGGGGUGAUGGCCCACCAAGGCGGUGACGGGUAGCCGGCCUGAGAGGGUGGGCGGCCACACUGGGACUGAGACACGGCCCAGACUCCUGCGGGAGGCAGCAGUGGGGGGUAUUGCACAAUGGGCGGAAGCCUGAUGCAGCGACGUCGCGUGAGGGAUGGAGGCCUUCGGGUUGUGAACCUCUUUCUCCGGUGGUGAAGGCCCUGUCCGUUGCGGCGGGGUUGACGGUAGCCGGGUAUGAAGCGCCGGCUAACUACGUG